rnacentral:rRNA from 1 species
AUACGGAGGGGGUUAGCGUUGUCCGGAAUUACUGGGCGUAAAGCGCACGUAGGCGGAUUGGAAAGUUGGGGGUGAAAUCCCAGGGCUCAACCCUGGAACUGCCUCCAAAACUAACAGUCUAGAGUUCGAGAGAGGUGAGUGGAAUUCCAAGUGUAGAGGUGAAAUUCGUAGAUAUUUGGAGGAACACCAGUGGCGAAGGCGGCUCACUGGCUCGAUACUGACGCUGAGGUGCGAAAGCGUGGGGAGCAAACAGGAUUAGAAACCCGAGUAGUCC